rnacentral:rRNA from 1 species
GACGAACGCUGGCGGCGUGCCUAAUACAUGCAAGUCGAACGAAACUUUCUUACACCGAAUGCUUGCAUUCACCGUAAGAAGUUGAGUGGCGGACGGGUGAGUAACACGUGGGUAACCUGCCUAAAAGAAGGGGAUAACACUUGGAAACAGGUGCUAAUACCGUAUAUCUCUAAGGAUCGCAUGAUCCUUAGAUGAAAGAUGGUUCUGCUAUCGCUUUUAGAUGGACUCGCGGCGUAUUAACUAGUUGGUGGGGUAACGGCCUACCAAGGUGAUGAGACGUAGCCGAACUGAGAGGUUGAUCGGCCACAUUGGGACUGAGACACGGCCCAAACUCCGACGGGAGGCAGCAGUAGGGAAUCUUCCACAAUGGACGCAAGUCUGAUGGAGCAACGCCGCGUGAGUGAAGAAGGUCUUCGGAUCGUAAAACUCUGUUGUUAGAGAAGAACACGAGUGUGAGUAACUGUUCAUUCGAUGACGGUAUCUAACCAGCAAGUCACGGCUAACUACGUGCCAGCCGCCGCGGUAA